GUUCUGGUUAGGAUCUCCAGCCAGGUUCUCUCUCUAAGUUCCAUGUAAGUUCUGUCUCCUAAGUUCUGUCUCUCGAAUCUUCAUCUGAGUUCUCUGUGUAGGUUCUGACUUCUGUCUCCUGUGGUCUUCUAGGUUCUGG